CGAGGAACCUUCCAGGGCUUAAAUGUAGUCUGACAGCUUUAGAGAUAGAGUUUUCUUCGGACAGAUUACAAGGUGCUGCAUGGCUGUCGUCAGCUCGUGCCGUGAGGUGUCAGGUUAAGUCCUAUAACGAGCGCAACCCCUGUCGUUAGUUGCCAGCGGAUUAUGCCGGGGACUCUAAAGAGACUGCCGGUGUAAACGGAGAGGAAGGUGGGGAUGACGUCAAAUCAUCACGGCCCUUACGUCCUGGGCUACACACGUGCUACAAUGGCAGGGACAGUUAGCUGCCAUCCUGCGAGGGUGAGCUAAUCUACAAACCCUGUCUCAGUUCGGAUCGGAGUCUGCAACUCGACUCCGUGAAGUUGGAAUCGCUAGUAAUCGGAUAUCAGCCAUGAUCCGGUGAAUACGUUCCCGGGCCUUGUACACAC
rnacentral:rRNA from 1 species